GAUGAACGCUGGCGGCGUGCCUAAUACAUGCAAGUCGAGCGAACAGACGAGGAGCUUGCUCCUCUGACGUUAGCGGCGGACGGGUGAGUAACACGUGGAUAACCUACCUAUAAGACUGGGAUAACUUCGGGAAACCGGCGCUAAUACCGGAUAAUAUAUUGAACCGCAUGGUUCAAUAGUGAAAGACGGUUUUGCUGUCACUUAUAGAUGGAUCCGCGCCGCAUUAGCUAGUUGGUAAGGUAACGGCUUACCAAGGCAACGAUGCGUAGCCGACCUGAGAGGGGGAUAGGCCACCCUGGAGCGGGGACACGGACCAGACUCCUGCGGUAGGCAGCAGUAGGGAAUCUGCGGCAAUGGGCGAAAGCCUGACGGAGCAACGCCGCGUGAGUGAUGAAGGCGUUCGGAUCGUAAAACUCUGUUAUGAGGUAAGAACAAAUUUGUAAGGAACUGUGCACGGCGUGACGGUACCUAAUCAGAAAGCCACGGCUAACUACGUG
rnacentral:rRNA from 1 species